AACCUCCAGAAUCUUCAGUCUGAUUAGAGGAAAUAUUGUUGAUAACAGCACCAGAUGAAUUCUUAAAUUUGAAUCCAGGUGGAAAUCCAUGUUUUCUAUAGCAUGUUUCCUCUGUAUGCCUUGGUCUGCCACAAUAUGUGCAAACCUUAUUAUCAUUCUGCGAACCAGAUUUCCUGUUAUUCACUGAUUGAACAGCAGUACCUCUCCCAAACACAUUCUUUUGAAAAUUACUCUGCUUUGUAGGCACAUUAUUCUGAAAAUUAUUGGUUCUGUUAACCAAAAUUUUAGAUUCAACAAGUAAUCCAGAAUUCAGUUGCCUUUCUUGUUGAAUCACUAAGGAAAACACCUUAUUAAUUGAAGGUAGAGACUCUAGCAACAUGAUCUGUGAUCUGACUGUAGUAAACUGAUCAUUCAGUCCUUUUAGAAACCUAAUGACAUAAUCAUUGUGUCUAUAGGUUUUGACAAUAGUAAGAGCACCACAGGAACAAUGAGUGCGACAAGAACAUUGUGGAAUUGGCCUGAAAUUCUCUAAUUCAUCCCAUAGAAUCUUUAAUUGAGUGAAAUAAUCUGUGACAGAAAGAUCACCUUGUUUAAAGGCAUAAAUUUCUUCUUGAAGAUCAGAUAUGCGAAAAAUAUCUCCUUGAGAGAAUCUAUCUUGGAGAUCCUUCCAAACUUCUACAGCAGUAUCAAUCCACAAGAUGCUUUGUGCGAUAGAAUGUGAUAAAGAAUGAGUUAUCCAAGAUAAUACCAUAGUGUUGCAUCUUUCCCAAGCUGAGAACAAUGGAUCUGUGCUUGCUGGCAUUUUCAAUGUUCCAUCGAUGAAUUUCACUUUAUUCUUAGAUUGCAAUGCCAUCUUCAUAGCUCUUCCCCAGGAAUGAUAAUUGGAACCAGUAAGAACCGGUGAAACAAGCACCAAAGCUGGAUUUUCAUUGGGAUGAAGAAAGAAAGGAUUUGAUGGAUUGGUCAAGUGAUCAGGAACUUGAUUUUGUGAAGGAAUGCUGGAUUCAAUAGCCAUAGCAGAUAAGAUCAGAUGAACAAAGUAACUGAUAUCAAUGAAAAAAAAUAACUGUCGAAGAAUAGAUCUGAGAUCUGUGAAUAGAGAAGAAUCAAGAGAACAAUAGCUAUUGCUCUGAUACCAUAACGAGAAAUGAAAGUGGAACUGAAAUCUUGAUCAUUCAUUAAUCAAUCAUCUGUUAUAUACAAGUCAGUGACUAACAGAAGCUAACUUUGAAAACUAACUAACAGAAUUUAAAACUAAUUAACAGAAUAAGUU
rnacentral:misc_RNA from 1 species